CUAUGUGUCUCUCUCACUCACGCACACAUACACAAACCCGAUCAGACGCUUCAGGACCGGCCGCUUUGCGAGGGGAACAACACGGGAGGGUUUGUAUUACUCCAGCAGGAAAAAGGAAUCACUGAGGAUUGGCCCUCGCUGCAAACAGAAGCUUAAGGAUACAGUGGUGAAGCUAGAUUCCCCCUUUAAUCCCCACCUCCAAAUUUUCCCCAUGAGCCCCAGCUUUGGCGCAGGAUCUGAGAGUGACAGAGAUGGAAAUUGCCAUCACCAGGCACACGGUCCUGACCUCAGUCGGAGGAUCCUUGGCCUGGAGUCAAGCAGUCGCUGCACUCACUGAAACAGCCAAAUUAACUGUCUGCUUAGCCAUGGAUUAAAAUUCAUCCACUGAUCGAAGACAGAUUACUCCACGUUUAUGUGAAUGAGAAGCAUAUACAGGAAUAGCUGUGACAUCAGAGGAGUGCUAAGUGCUUGAAAUCUGGCAGCUACAAUCUGUGCCUCCAAGUUUGCUGGUUAGUGUAGCUCUCCCUUCAAAAAACGGAAUCGUUUUUAAACUAAGUAGCCAUGAUAAAAAUGUUUUGACAGUAACUAACAUGAAAAUUCUGUGUAUUUGAGCUACAGGAACUACUGUAAAAACACACAUUACAUGUUUUCAUUGCGACAAAUGUACUAGUGUUCUGUCCUAUACAGAAUAUAUAAAUUGGGUGUCCCAGGUGUGUAGAAAGCUCACUAAGCCUCCAUCUUCUGUACAGACAAAUGAGCAAUGAUGAUGAAGAAGGUAAAGGGUGUAGAAUUACAUCGGUGGAGGCUGAUACUGAAAAUCAAGCAAGGGUGAGUAAGGAUGCUGAGACAAAUAAAAAUAGAAAUUACUUCCCAGCCAUCAUACAAAUCCUCAACACUGUUCUGUUGUAAUGAUUUUAUUACUGUUAUCCACACCUGAAAAAUAUGUGUUUUUUUGAGUAACGACACAUUUAUUUCAAUUCACCUUCCUAAUAAAUCAACACACCUUGGGUAUUUGCUUGCUUCAUUAAACUUCAGGUAAGCUUUUAACAAAUACAGAGAAUUGUACAGUUAAUGCUAGAGUUUUACUUUAAAAAGCUGAGGAUGAGCAUUAUAAAAAAUAAAAACUAAAAUGAAUUAAACUCCUGUUUUAUUUAGUGGAAUAAUAAAGAUCUACAGUAUACAUAUUUAAUUAGAGUCACAAAUGUACCCACAUUCCUAAAUAUACUAAUAUUUUUAAACAUGUGACUGAAUCAACUAAUGGACUGGAACAAAGAGUAUUAUCAGCAAUGCUCUAUUCAGAGUACUUUUGAAGAUAUGCAGAUGGGUAAGUUUAAACUCAGAAAAAUAGAUUUUUAGCCUAAUAAAUUUACUUUCCAGAGUCUCUUUUUUUCCUGUUUGGUGGUACACUAUUGUGGUGGAAGAGCUACAACUAUUAAUCUUGAAGUGCAAUGGGUCCUCUCUUCAGGAAUAAUUUCUCUUGCCUGCAUAUUUAUACCUCCCCCACCCUUGAUUUCAAAACUCUCAUUUAUCUUGAAACAGAUAGAUAUCAAACCCUACUCUUUUUUCAGGUUAGGAUCUAUUGGGCAUUGCUCAGACAUAUCAGUGCUGUAUAUAAAAAGAGGUUCAGACCUUUCCUACUGUACUUGGCUCCUCUCACGGAGAUGUUAUGACCUGCAAGCUCUGCAGGUGGUCAGGCUGCUAGGCCUGACUUCCCUAAGCUCCACUGGAACUACAGAGUUGUCUUCUGAAGGCAACUUGGGGCAAGACUCUUAUCUUAGAUGACCCAACUUGUCUUUUGGGGCAAUGCCUUUCUCACAACUGCCACAUCUUCGCACAUCUUCGGCACUGACAGCACCAUCUAAAGAGGAAAUUUUAAAAAUGGGAACCACUCAAUUGCUAGACAAGUGUUCUCUAUGCUUCAGAUGUUACCAUCCAAAAUAAAUGAAAACUGACUGCCUGAAUAUUGUUUCACAAUCAGCAGAACAUUUUACCCUGCCCAAAAGAAAACUUUUCUUGUUGACCAAGAGAUACCACGCAGGAUCGUACCAAUGGUCCACCGGCACCAGUGUGCCACCUUCUGCACUGGCCAGAAUCAGACAUACCCAGGAAAAAACAUUGGAACUACACUGUAAUCAAGGGGAAAUUACCUCCUGGAGGACAUCCUUGGGUUUCUAAGAGUCGAGCAGGGACUCUUGUUUCAGUCAUGGGAAAAGCCGAUCAACUUUUACAUACUUUUGGAUCAGAACUGAUAUAUUAAUAUGAAGGUACUCAGAAAAGAGUGUUCAUAGUGUCAACAUCAAUUUCAAAGAAGCCAAAACUUCGAAGACUGUGUGAGCACAAUGUCAGGUUUCUCUUUCAAUUAAUUUGUUCUUCCUUAUUAAACAACAACUUUCUAUAGCAGCCAUCAACAAGGUGAAUUUUACAUUCACCUAAACCAAAUGUAUUUGUGAAGAAUAAAUGACGGAAUAGCACUAGCUUUAAUGCAAAAGGUUUUGUUUCUGAAGUUUCUGUCAUUGUAUUCCUUAAAGAAGAUGUUAUAUCUAGCAGGUAGGAAAAAUAUCUGUAGAAAUGCUAGUCACUAUAACUGUUUGAUCAACUUGAUACUUAUGGAAUAGAUCUUUCGGAUCUAUUUUCUGAUCUUACGGAAUAGAGCUUUCUGAUCUAGCACUUAAAGAUUUACAACUUGCAAACACUUUUGGGAGUACCAUUGGUUUAACUGAAUCUUGAAUGUUGACACAACAAACCAGUGCUAAAUAUGCUAAAAGUUCUGCUUGCGGAUAGCCCAGAUAUUUGAUGCUGCUUGCUUCAGGCCCACCAUUAAUUUUUAACACUGCAGAUACAAGUCAGUGACCCUGUGUUCUCACUCAGGAAUGUCUGACCAUUCACCUGCUCCCAGUUUCUACUGAACAUGCACUAUACUGGAAUACUUUGGUGUUUAAAGAUGCACCCAGUUCAGACAUUUCUGUGUUGCUAUAGACUCUUCAUCAGAGAUCAUGCUUUGGAGUGAAGGUGCCUGUGAGAAAAGUUUGUAAAAGCUAAGGAUCACUCAAAGAGAAAUUAAAUGGCUUUUGAUCAUAAUUUCUAAUUAGGUUUAAGAAACUGCUUUAAUGAAAUUGAGAUGGAACACUUAGAAUGCAGUAAAACUAUGACAUUAGCAUAAAAUAACAGAAAUGUAUAAGUACAUUUGGACAUUGUAGAAGUAUGAUUAAGACCUGUGCAACUAGUGAUACAAUAGAAAAGAGAUAUUUAGUCUGAGUUUUGAUUUAUUUAUGGUUAGCAAGUUAUAUUUAAGACAAGACAAACCCUCUUGGCUGCAUAUUUACAACUUUAUCAUACAAGGAUCAUGAAGUGGAACUGUCUUGGGUGAUUUAUUUUGUGUUUGUUUCUUUCUGUUUCUGUGUGCAUGUCUAAAUCAUGAAGAGAAAAUGAGAACACUAGCAAAAUCCAAAUACUUUAUUUAAAAUAAAAAGUGUAAUUGUUCAGAAAUAGACUAUUGACUUUCACUGGGUUAAACAGCUCAUGUACUGAUUAGGCUUGAAGCUAUAAUUGUUCUUGUCACCCAAACUCUGCUCAGUCAAUAUCUUUUUAUCAUAUACAUUUUUAAUCACAUAUUAAUAAACAAGAAGGUGUGCUUUAUUGAUGGUUGGAUUAGUUUAUUGACCAACUCAACAACUCUAUAUAUGGUUUCUGAACAAAAAAACAAGGUCAAUGUGUAAAGAUGAGGAACAGUACAUUCACCAACUUCAAUAUACUUCGUUCUGGUAGUCUACUUCCUUCCUAAGAAGUGAAAUCUAUAUAGUUUCUCUGAUUGUUUUUAGAAAUUAUUUAAUAUUUGAAAAAAUCUUGCUGUUAAGGACAUUUUAGGUUGAGUUUCAGGAAAUAUAAGCUUCUAUGAGCUCCUAUAAUUUAACAUAAUUUCACUAUUUUGAUACCAAGCUGUAUUAUUUUUUAAACCAUUGGGGAUUCAAGUUUUCAGAUACUUGUGGACUCUUAUAAAAUGUUCUUUAACUACUUAUAUUUUGGAAAAUAUUUAGACUUUUCAGUUUCUCACAAUGGCUAACUUUCUUCACCCUUCUAAUUGGUUCUUUUCAUUUUUAUAUCUGUGAAUUGCUGUCAUGAGUAUUACUCUCAAGUAAUUCAGGUUUGGAAUGAUGGCCUCUAAAGUAACUGUAUAAAAUUAAAG